GGCAUGCCCGGCCGAGUGGUUAGUGUGUUGCUUGUUAACCUAAAGGUCGCGAGUUCGACUCCCGUUCAGGCCG
rnacentral:tRNA from 1 species